AAGGAAUAUUGGACAAUGGGGGCAACCCUGAUCCAGCCAUCCCGCGUGCAGGAAGAAGGCCCUACGGGUUGUAAACUGCUUUUAUGAGGGAAGAAAUGACUUGAUUUAUCGAGUUUUGACGGUACCUCAGGAAUAAGCACCGGCUAACUCCGUGCCAGCAGCCGCGGUAAUACGGAGGGUGCGAGCGUUAUCCGGAAUUACUGGGUUUAAAGGGUGCGUAGGCGGCCUAAUAAGUCAGGAGUGAAAGUUAUCCGCUUAACGGGGAAAUUGCUUUUGAUACUGUUAGGCUAGAAUAAGGAUGAGGUAGGCGGAAUGUGGCAAGUAGCGGUGAAAUGCAUAGAUAUGCCAUAGAACACCAAUUGCGAAGGCAGCUUACUGGACCUUAAUUGACGCUGAGGCACGAAAGCGUGGGGAGCGAAC
rnacentral:rRNA from 1 species